UACAGAGGUCUCAAGCGUUGUUCGGAUUCAUUGGGCGUAAAGGGUGUGUAGGUGGCGCCGUAAGUCGGGUGUGAAAUUUCGGAGCUUAACUUCGAAACUGCAUUCGAUACUGCGGUGCUUGAGGACUGGAGAGGAGUCUGGAAUUCAUGGUGUAGCAGUGAAAUGCGUAGAGAUCAUGAGGAAGACCAGUGGCGAAGGCGGGUCUCUGGACAGUUCCUGACACUGAGACACGAAGGCCAGGGGAGCAAACGGG
rnacentral:rRNA from 1 species